CUUUUUUUAUGGGGGCCCCCCGUUUUUUUUUUCCCCCCCAAAACACGUGGGCAACCUGCCUGUAAGACUGGGAUAACUCCGGGAAACCGGAGCUAAUACCGGAUAGUUCCUUGAACCGCAUGGUUCAAGGAUGAAAGACGGUUUCGGCUGUCACUUACAGAUGGACCCGCGGCGCAUUAGCUAGUUGGUGAGGUAACGGCUCACCAAGGCGACGAUGCGUAGCCGACCUGAGAGGGUGAUCGGCCACACUGGGACUGAGACACGGCCCAGACUCCUACGGGAGGCAGCAGUAGGGAAUCUUCCGCAAUGGACGAAAGUCUGACGGAGCAACGCCGCGUGAGUGAUGAAGGUUUUCGGAUCGUAAAGCUCUGUUGUUAGGGAAGAACAAGUGCAAGAGUAACUGCUUGCACCUUGACGGUACCUAACCAGAAAGCCACGGCUAACUACGUGCCAGCAGCCGCGGUAAUACGUAGGUGGCAAGCGUUGUCCGGAAUUAUUGGGCGUAAAGGGCUCGCAGGCGGUUUCUUAAGUCUGAUGUGAAAGCCCCCGGCUCAACCGGGGAGGGUCAUUGGAAACUGGGAAACUUGAGUGCAGAAGAGGAGAGUGGAAUUCCACGUGUAGCGGUGAAAUGCGUAGAGAUGUGGAGGAACACCAGUGGCGAAGGCGACUCUCUGGUCUGUAACUGACGCUGAGGAGCGAAAGCGUGGGGAGCGAACAGGAUUAGAUACCCUGGUAGUCCACGCCGUAAACGAUGAGUGCUAAGUGUUAGGGGGUUUCCGCCCCUUAGUGCUGCAGCUAACGCAUUAAGCACUCCGCCUGGGGAGUACGGUCGCAAGACUGAAACUCAAAGGAAUUGACGGGGGCCCGCACAAGCGGUGGAGCAUGUUGUUUAAUUCGAAGCAACGCGAAGAACCUA
rnacentral:rRNA from 2 species